CCUACGUGAGGCAGCAGUGGGGAAUAUUGGGCAAUGGGCGCAAGCCUGACCCAGCAACGCCGCGUGAAGGAAGAAGGCUUUCGGGUUGUAAACUUCUUUUCUCAGGGACGAAGCAAGUGACGGUACCUGAGGAAUAAGCCACGGGUAACUACGUGCCAGCAGCCGCGGUAAUACGUAGGUGGCAAGCGUUAUCCGGAUUUACUGGGUGUAAAGGGCGUGUAGGCGGGAAAGCAAGUCAGAUGUGAAAACCAUGGGCUCAACCUGUGGCCUGCAUUUGAAACUGUUUUUCUUGAGUACUGGAGAGGCAGACGGAAUUCCUAGUGUAGCGGUGAAAUGCGUAGAUAUUAGGAGGAACACCAGUGGCGAAGGCGGUCUGCUGGACAGCAACUGACGCUGAGGCGCGAAAGCGUGGGGAGCAAACAGGAUUAGAUACCCGAGUAGUC
rnacentral:rRNA from 1 species